GCUGCCGUCCGCCUCCCGGGCAGACGACGGCGGCGCGGCGGGGCGCGAUGGCGGCCGGGCUGGGGCCGUGGCUGCUGGCCUUGGCCUUGGGGCCGGCGGGAGUGUGUGCACAGUGGAGACUGGAAGCAUCUGGCGGAGGUGUGCGAGCACCUGGGGAGUCCGUGCAGCUCUCCUGCCAGGGAUCCGGCUUCAGCUUCAGAAGUUUUUCUGUUCGGUGGUACCGUCAGGGACCUGGUGGCUCUCUCGAGUGGCUGUCCUACAUCGGCACCAGCUCAUAUACUACAGUCAGCUCUGAGGUGCAGGGUCGAUCCUCAGUCUCUCGAGACAAUUCCCGCUCUGUGUCCUUUCUGUCUCUCCAUGCCCUGCACCCACACGACUCAGCGCGCUACUUCUGUGCUGUUCUCACGGGAACAGGAAAUCCUGCAGAACUUUAACAAAAACCUCUUCCUAGACACAGCCAUGACUAUGACUUCAAGAACCACAGAGCUGGCAGGAGCUGGAGCAUCUCUGGUCUGCUCCUGGGCAGUGAGGGGACAUCACUGCACACCACAGAUGACCCUAUCCUUUCUGCAAGGUCUCAUUUGAUUUUGUCACUCCUUUCAUUCUCCUGAGUCACAAAAGCAGUGUUGUAACCUGAGGAUUACCUUCAUCAUGUUUCUGUUCACCAAAUCCUCUUGCCUACAUUGUCCGCCUGUUCUACCUGUAGCUAGUCUGCACCCUUCUUCUUUUCUUUCCCUUCUUGGAUACUUAAAGCACUUCGGCACUUCUAGCAACUGUGUUGCCUGUUUCCAUUAACAAAUACAGUGACCUUGUAUCUAUCUCUGUGAACCAAGUAGUCGGCGAGUAUCAGGAGCCUUUCAGAGCGAUGUAAUCUAACAAAUGGCUACUGCAGUGUUGCAGGGAUGUUGAUUGAGAUGGCCAUUGAUGUUGAGAUCCUGAAAUGUAGAUAGGUUACUCUGAAAGCAGUGUCUCCUAUUGAUUCCAGUGAAGCUUCCACAGUUUCAAAGUGCACAGUAACACUAUUUGAUAGAGAAGAUUCACAGUGGAAGACUUUUAACACAGUCAACACCAUUAGCUAUGAAUUCUCACCUGUGAUGAUGAAGGUCCUUCAUUUCAUGCUGGUAAAUACCUGCACCAGUGGAGGUGAACCACAGUUUCACAGCUGUUGUGCUGACAUUGUUACCAGGAAAAUGUAGCCCACACAGUACGUCUCCCAUCAGCCCGAAAAGAUGAAAAUGCAGAGGUGUCACAUAUACCUUAUAUCAUGGUUAUGAAAGGACUGUUCAGCCAAAACUGUCAGUGUGCGCCAUGGUCUUCAUAUUGGUGUGGAUGAGGCAUUAUCAUACUGCAGGAAGCCUUCUUCUCGGGCCUGACUCUGGAGGUUUGAGCCUUCAGCAUUGUCAGCACUGAGACUGAGCAAUCUGAGCUGAUGGAUUGUCUGGGUUCUAGGAAAUGUUGAAGGAUCUCCCCUUUUCUUAUCCCAAAAGACAGCGCACGUCACCAUACCACAGAGGGCUGUGUCUUGAACUUUUUCUUUGAUAGGGAAUUCUCAUGUCACCCCUCCAUGGACUUUGGCUCCUUUGACUCUGUCAUAUAGAUGUGACAAUACGUUUUGUCAUUGUUUAUGAUGUGAUUUAGGAAACUGUCACCUUGAGCCUCGUAUGGGUUCAGCUGUUCCUGAUAAACUUGCACACUCUGUUUUUUUUCUAUUUCUGUGUGAAUCUUCAUUGAUUCUUCCAGGUGCAAACUUUGCUAUAUUACAACAUUGUCAUAUCAUCAUCAAUGCAUGAAAUCCAAUAUUCACCUCUGUUUUCAGGUUCUGCUCUUUAUCCACUGGUUCAUACAUUCUGGCUGAUCCAGACAUUCUUCAUUUCAUGGUGUGACAG